UACGUAGGGUGCGAGCGUUGUCCGGAAUUACUGGGCGUAAAGAGCUCGUAGGUGGUUUGUCGCGUUGUUCGUGAAAACUCACAGCUCAACUGUGGGCGUGCGGGCGAUACGGGCAGACUGGAGUACUGCAGGGGGAGACUGGAAUUCUGUGUAGCGGUGGAAUGCGCAGAUAUCAGGAGGAACACCCGGUGGCGAAGGCGGGGUCUCUGGGGCAGUAACUGACGCUGAGGAGCGAAAGCGUGGGGGAGCGAACAGG
rnacentral:rRNA from 1 species